CCUACGGGUGGCAGCAGUAGGGAAUAUUGCUCAAUGGGGGACACCCUGAAGCAGCAACGCCGCGUGGAGGAUGAAGGUUUUCGGAUUGUAAACUCCUUUUGUUAGAGAAGAUACUGACGGUGUCUACCGACUAAGCACCGGCUAACUCCUUGCCAGCAGCCGCGGUAAUAAGGAGGGUGCAACCGUUACUCUGAAUCAUUUGGGGUAAAGAGCGCGUCGGCGGGAUAGCAAGUCAGAUGUGAAAUCCUAUGGCUUACCCACAGAACUGAAUUGGAAACUGUUAUUCUAGAGUAUGGGAGAGGUAGGUGGAAUUCUGGGUGUAGGGGUAAAAUCCGUAGAGAUCAAGAGGAAUACUCAUGGCGAAGGCGACCUGCUAGAACAUAACUGACGCUGAUGCGCGAAAGCGUGGGGAGCAAACAGGAUUAGAUACCCGGGUAGUC
rnacentral:rRNA from 1 species